rnacentral:rRNA from 1 species
AGUUUGAUUAUGGCUCAGAUUGAACGCUGGCGGGAUGCUUUGCAUACAUGCAAGUCGAACGGCAGCACGACUUCGGUCUGCGGCGAGUGGCGAACGGGGAGUAAUGUAUCGGAACGUGCCUAGUAGCGGGGAUAACUACGCGAAAGCGUAGCUAAUACCGCAUACGCCCUUCGGGGAAAGCGGGGGCCUUCGGGCCUCGCACUAUUAGAGCGGCCGAUAUCGGAUUAGCUAGUUGGUGGGGUAACGGCUCACCAAGGCGACGAUCCGUAGCUGGUUUGAGAGGACGACCAGCCACACUGGGACUGAGACACGGCCCAGACUACGGGAGGCAGCAGUGGGGAAUUUUGACAAUGGGGGGAAACCCUGAUCCAGCCAUCCUGGCGUGUGCGAUGAAGGCCUUCGGGUUGUAAAGCACUUGCAGGAAAGAAACGGCACGGGAUAAUACCCCGUGCAAUCGACGGUACCUGCAGAACAAGCACCGGCUAACUACGUGCCAGCAGCCGCGGUAAUACGUAGGGUGCAAGCGUUAAUCGGAAUUACUGGGCGCAAGCGUGCGCAGGCGGUUCGGAAAGAAAGAUGUGAAAUCCCAGAGCUUAACUUUGGAACUGCAUUUUUAACUACCGAGCUAGAGUGUGUCAGAGGGAGGUGGAAUUCCGCGUGUAGCAGUGAAAUGCGUAGAUAUGCAGAGGAACACCGAUGGCGAAGGCAGCCUCCUGGGAUAACACUGACGCUCAUGCACGAAAGCGUGGGGAGCAAACAGGAUUAGAUACCCUGGUAGUCCACGCCCCAAACGAUGUCAACUAGCUGUUGGGGCCUUCGGGCCUUGGUAGCGCAGCUAACGCGUGAAGUUGACCGCCUGGGGAGUACGGUCGCAAGAUUAAAACUCAAAGGAAUUGACGGGGACCCGCACAAGCGGUGGAUGAUGUGGAUUAAUUCGAUGCAACGCGAAAAACCUUACCUACCCUUGACAUGUCUGGAAUCCCGAAGAGAUUUGAGUGCUCAAAAAAGAGAACCGGAACACAGGUGCUGCAUGGCCGUCGUCAGCUCGUGUCGUGAGAUGUUGGGUUAAGUCCCGGCAACGAGCGCAACCCUUGUCAUUAGUUGCUACGAAAGGGCACUCAAUGAGACUGCCGGUGACAAACCGGAGGAAGGUGGGGAUGACGUCAAGUCCUCAUGGCCCUUAUGGGUAGGCUUCACACGUCAUACAAUGGUCGGGACAGAGGGUCGCCAACCCGCGAGGGGAGCUAAUCCCAGAAACCCGAUCGUAGUCCUGAUCGCAGUCUGCAACUCGACUGCGUGAAGUCGGAAUCGCUAGUAAUCGCGGAUCAGCAUGUCGGGUGAAUACGUUCCCGGGUCUUGUACACACCGCCCGUCACACCAUGGGAGUGGGUUUACCAGCGUUAGCCUAACCGUAAGGAGGAUUAAUGGUAGGUCCAUGACUGGGGUGGUCGUGUGAACAAGGU